GACAGAGGUGCCGAGCGUUAGGCGGAAUCACUGGGCUUAAAGCGUGUGUAGGCGGACCGUUAAGUACCUUGUGAAAUCCCCCCGGCUCAACCGGGGAACGGCUGGGUAUACUGGCGGUCUUGAGCCAUCCAGGGGCAGUCGGAACAGACGGUGGAGCGGUGAAAUGCGUAGAUAUCAGGAGGAACACCUGUGGUGUAGACGGCUUUCUGGACCGUAGCUGACGCUGAGACACGAAAGCGUGGGUAGCAAACAGG
rnacentral:rRNA from 1 species